rnacentral:rRNA from 1 species
UGGGGAUAUUGCGCAAUGGGGGAAACCCGUGACGCAGCAACGCCGCGUGAAGGAAGAAGGCCUUCGGGUUGUAAACUUUGUCGCAAGGGAAGAAGACAGUGACGGUACCUUGUGAGGAAGCCACGGCUAACUACGUGCCAGCAGCCGCGGUAAUACGUAGGUGGCGAGCGUUGUCCGGAUUUACUGGGUGUAAAGGGCGCGUAGGCGGAUCAGCAAGUCAGUCGUGAAAUACCGGGGCUCAACCCUGAGCCUGCAUUUGAAACUAUCGUUCUUGAGUGAUGGAGAGGCAGGCGGAAUUCCGUGUGUAGCGGUGAAAUGCGUAGAUAUACGGAGGAACACCAGUGGCGAAGGCGGCCUGCUGGACAUUAACUGACGCUGAGGCGCGAAAGCGUGGGGAGCAAACAGGAUUAGAUACCC